GAUGAGCGCUGGCGGCGUGCCUAACACAUGCAAGUCGAACGAACCCUUCGGGGUUAGUGGCGGACGGGUGAGUAACACGUUAGUACCUACCCUUUAGUGGGGAAUAACUCGGCGAAAGUCGGGCUAAUACCGCAUACGAUCCCUCGGGAUGAAAGCAUUUAUGCGCUAAAGGAGGGGCUUGCGUCUGAUUAGCUAGUUGGUAGUGUAAUGGACUACCAAGGCAAUGAUCAGUAGCUGGUUCGAGAGGAUGACCAGCCACACUGGGACUGA
rnacentral:rRNA from 1 species